rnacentral:lncRNA from 1 species
GGCAGUAACAGUAGUCAUCUCAGAGGCACCUCCCACGGCACAGGACAGGGCCUGGCACAGGACAAAUCUCCGGUGCAUUUAAGUCAGUUGCUCGCCAUCGUCAUUCCCCUCACGUGUGAGCACAGCUUUGCAGACCACGAGCCCCGCGGUAGACGGUCUUUAUCACAUCGUGGCCCCAGGCUUCUGCGUUCCAGCACCUGUGUGACUCUGCCCAGUCUGCAUCGCCACAGGGAUCGAUAUAUGAAGAAAUAGUUAACACGGUAACUGUCUGAUCCUUGUUAUGGAUUUUUUAGCCAUUUGAGGCUCUGGGGGCUUCCUCGCUUUGAGUCAGUACUUACUAAAUUUAGCUUUUCUAGUUUUGGGUAUUAUGCUUAUAAAGAAUUGAGGUGGGUGUUAAAAUUAUCAUUUGGGAAAAUUCUCCUAUUGCCUGUUUUUCUAGUUCAGAUUGCAGUCCUGUCCUGUGGUCCUGACAGCUCUUGAACAUGCACACAUGUGUGUUUGCUGCAUUAAAGUCACACAAAAUUCUUUCACUGAUGACAAUGGACAGCCUUAUUUUAUAGGUUGCUUGUACUUGAAAAGCCCACCCCUCCCCAUAUUUAUAAUUUAUUACUUUGAAUGAAAUGGGUUCAUCAUUGUGCUUUUUUGCCUGAAUCACAUCCCAACUGGACUACAUAGACCAUCAUGUGAAGAAGUAGAAAAUAACUUGUUUACACUAAAAACAAACCUGCCAAUAUAUUUUAGCUGAACAGUGUACUAUAAAUAGUAAGCUAUUUGCUAACAGUUUCCAUUUUAAACUUAGAAUUGCUGCUGAUGGAUACUAACUUGGCACUAUUCCUGGGAGCUUUGCUUCAGCCAUUUAGUUGUUAGAUAGCAGUUAAAAUAUAUAGGACCUUCACAUUCGGAGAAACUACUGUCGAUGGGGCAAAGGAUAAACUUGUCUGCAAUAUGAAUCCACAAGUAUUUUUAAAAUGAAUGAAAAUUUGCAUUGAUUCUUUGCCAUUAAUCAAGGUAAGAGAGUCUCUUUCAACAUUUCUGUGUUACUUACAAAUCAAAGAUAAACUUACAGAAAAGUAAUACACUAAUGCUUUUGGACGAUCAUGAUUUCUUUCUUUAUACUUUUCUUGUCUGGUGCGUCAUCAGAUUACAGAUGUGGAUAUAUUCUCUGGUUCUUCCUCUCGUUUCAAUCAGAAUUUAGCCAGGGUUCCUCGCUGAAGAUCAUGUUCACAGGAAUUUCUGUUUCUUUUUCCUCAGCACUGGGGGUUAAACCCAAGGGUGCCUACCACUGAGCUACAUCCCUCGCCCUUUUUAAAAGCCUUAUUGAGACAGGGUCUCACUGUGUUCUCGGGCUGGCCUUGAACUUUCGAUCUUCCUGCUGAGCUCAGACUUCCAUGUCACCAGGAUCACAGGUGUGUACUGUAAUGCCCAGAGAAAUCUCCCAGUUUUUAAAACCACAGACUAAUAGGUGAAAGGGCUCAGUUAUUUUUUCAUUACAGCAGCUUUUCUGGUGUUGAUGGUAGGUAAAAAUAAUAAGAUUUUUGUUUGUUUGUUUGUUUUGGUACCGGGGAAUCAGCUCGGGUCCUUGUGCUUGUGCAGCAGGUGACGAAUCCACUGAGCUAAAUCCCUGGCCAAUAAAUAAGACUUUUUAAAACUUCAUUUGGCAAAGUCUGCUGAGAACUAGAAAGAUGGUUUGUUUUUUAAAUAAAUGUUUUGACAUAGAUGUAGUUGAAAGGGAAUGGAAAAUCAUUUCACAGUUGAUAGAUAUCAGAACAAACUUUCAGCUCAUGACUGGAGUUGAAGUAUGUCAUCUAUACACUAGUUUUAUGUUGCAUACUAUAAAUAUGCAAUGAAAUACAGGACAGCUUUGUUCACAUUUGAAUCAUUAGAGAAGCUUUGGACAAAACCCCGGGCCUCUUGACGACGUAAUCUGUGGGACUGAAACUUAGGCAGGCAUCUGUGUUCGGGAGCCCUAAGGUGAUUCUAAUGCUCGCCUCGGCUGCAGAGUUCCCAGUAAAUGCUUUGGCAGUUGACACACGGGAACGUGCACAGUAUCACACACAUGUGCAGAUAUGCAGGUGCACAAAGUUACAGACACAGAGAGCAAACUGCCAUUCUUUAUGUUGCAUUGUGAAUUUUACUCUAAUAGUGACAUUUAUUAUCAGAAGGGUAACAUUCAAUGAGCUGAGGACCCGAGUUCUCAGGGCCCUUACGGAGCGAUCCCCUGACUUCCCCCAAUACUCACACGGGUGUGUUUUCUCCAUUUUAACGGUCAGCAGCCGAGGCACAGUGAUGCCAAGUCCCUUCUCCAGAGCCACAGCACUGGUAAGUUAUGGAGCCAGACUUUGAAAAUGAGCCCUGGAUUUCAGGUUCUCAGCUGCUUGUCGUUUGCUGCACUGCCUUUAGUAGCUCUUCCUGGGUACUCUGUGGUUUUAAGGGGGAAAAAAAUGCAUGCUGCUUAGCACUGCUUUGGAAAUAAAGAUAAGGUCAUCAGAAAUUUCUGUCACUGUUUCAGUCUGACUUGGUACAAGAAAUCUAAUUUGCUAAAAUCGUUCUAUGUUUUAAUAGUUUUUAAAAUUAAAUGCAUCCUGGGUUAAAAGAGAAAGUUCGACUAAUGUGCAGAAAUCUCAGCGAUUACCUGGAAGUUUCUAAGCAGUAAGGAGCCUACCUCCUCCGCCUCCCCCCCCCUUUUUUUUUAAAGUAAUGUAGGCUAAAGAUCAAAUCUUUUUGCCCUGGGGGCUCUUGGUUCUCUGAUUUCAGCACCACGCUUGGCCGAGGACCAAGCUGGGCGGCCGGCAGAGGGCAGCCGCGUCCCGCGACUGGGCUCCUCUCCCGGGGCGCUGUGUGAACCGGGGUCUUUCUCCUGGUGUCCCUUACUGGUCCUGAAAGGCCAUCGGUGCCUUUAUCUGAAUGAGGACUGGAUCGAUCUCGUCGGGGAACCCGAGCCCGGGCCGGGGGCUCUGUUGCAUAGGCGCCGGGCCUGCGCGGGCCUGCAGGGCUUGUGCGGACUCCGGAGGCGACGACCCAGGACUUUCUGCAACACUUCCUGUAGAUCUGCUUCACAGACCGCCACCAGCGAAGGCCGGCUGGGCCUGGCGCUCUCCGCCUAAUACACCAUGUAAUGCGGCGCAGAUGGAGAGUUGUCUUUCGCCAAAUCAUUCCCCCGAGAGGCUGGUGGGCCCCCGGCUGUCUGCUGCACGGAGCGAGGCCCGGGUCCGGGUGCCCUGCUUCGCAAGGCCUCGUGAGCCAUAGUUAGCAGAGAAAACAGUGGUGCUGCCCCUUCCCUCCACACCCAUUUGAGCAUCCUGGCUGCUCUUUGCCUUACGUGGAAUUACACGGAACUAUUCAGACGGCUGUAAUCCAGACAGCUGCCUAGAUGAACAUGCGUUUUUGGAUUGAGGUUUCCAGUCAGAAGUUCUAGCAGAGCCAGAGCCCUGUGUCUGCAGGCCCCAGACCCUGGGGAUGUUCCCGGCGCUGUCUGAGCUGAAAGACACGGAGAAAUGCUCUGUGACGCUGACGCUCUCAGGUCUCUGUGAGUGCUACUCGGAUAACCUGGGGCACAACUGCUCUACACGCUCUUUGCUGAGGUGGUUUUUUUUUUAAUCAUUGGGCCAGAAUCCGAGGAAAUACGUUUUCGGAAACAGGACACCUUGUUCAGAAGUUGACAGGUGCAAGCACAUAUUUGUGUUCCUGAGAGCAAGUGAGGAGGGAGAUGGGCUGGAAGCUCGCAUUUGUGGAAGCUCCUUUCCUCUCUAGCUGGUCUCGGGGGGAAGGUGAUGAAGGCCGACCCGGCGUUAGCUGUGAUUGUCCUGGGUGAAGCAGUGUGAAGCAAGGAGGCAUCGUGGGCACCGUGGGUGCCUUCACACUGGCCAAGCAAGGGCAGGAGAGCUGCUUGCUGUUGAUUCGUGGGGGUUUCUUUAUACUCCAUCACCAGGAAAUCAGUGACACUUAUCCAAGGCCUUCUAGUAAGGUAGUUCAUGGAAUAAGUCUGUUUUAUGGACAAGCUGCCAUCCAAUCACUAUUUGACAGUUUAAAACAAAGGAGACUAUCAAGAUAGUCAGUUUUGUUCAGUGAAUAAAAGAAAGUUGUCCUCACGCUAUUUCUACAGAGUCCAGGCAGCUCUGGAGCUGAGGUAGUAUCAGCGGUCCACAGGAAGUUGGAUUUAGUGCUAAGAAUCAAACUUCUGUAGGCUACUUUUUAGAUCCACAAGAUAUCAUUCCCAAUUUUAAUUAAAUAUCAGAAACUUAAAAUCUAUUAACUAAUUCUUUAAUUCAAGAAAUAUUCCAGUGCUUACUUUAUGUAGGUGAUGUACCAAUGAACAAGGAAGAUGUGGCCUCAUGCCCAAGGAUUCAGAUUUUUCCAGGGGUCAGAAAGCUUAAACAACUAACUACACUGUCAUUAAAAGUUAUAAACAAGUAAGUACAAAAUGGUUUUUAAAGUAUACCAUGCUAUUUGUGCUAAAGAAGUAUAAAAGUCAUGACGAUAUUCAGAGUCUCACACAAUCUGGGAUUUCAAAGAAGAGCUCUUUAAAGUUAAUUUAAAUUUCUUUAUCUAAAAUAAGAUUUUGACAUACACAUUAUCUAUUUACACUGAUGGAUGUGGGCUUUUUAUUUAGACAGAAUGUCUAUAGAAUAACUGAAGGAGAAAAAUAUGCAAGAACUAAGAAAAAAAUUGGUAACUUCUGCUUUGAACAAAUAUAGAUAGAUCAGAUCAGUGCUAUAACCUCUCCCCAAAUCUCUUACAUGUGAGAAGUCAUAUAUCCAUUUAGAUGGGAGAAAUUAUAUUUGUCUUUUAGAAAUGUAUUUAACUAUCAUUUAAAUAAACUAAAAUUGGUUUUUAUGUUACUUUGGAAGAUGAUCCACAACAGAACCAUACAAGUUGAGUAAGUUUUCCUGGAAAUGAACAGGCUAAAAGUUGGGAUGAUUUCCUAAGGAAAAACAUGUUGGGUAUGGAGGAACAAAAAUCUACAGAAAAAACAUUAUAGAAAAACAAGUCAGAAAGAUAUGUGAUGCUCUAUGUAUUGCUUUGUCUGUUCUUGUGAAAGGUAAAUGAGACCUUUACAACAUAAACACUAGCUCAGAGUUUGAGGGAGACAAAAAGCCAUUCAUACUUUUUUGAUUACAUUCUUAUACCUUUCCAAAUAUAAAGGAUUAGUGAAUGAGGAUAGAAUUUGAUUUUAAUAAUGGAAGUUUUUAAAGACUUUCUGGAAAUGUCUGAGAACUGGAGAAAGAGAGAGAGAGAGAGAGAGAGAGAGAGAGAGAGAGAGAGAGAGAGAGAGAGAAUGAGAGCUUGUUCUUAAUUUUAUUUUGUGUUUAGUUCCAAGAAAUCACUUCAAAGAAAUCUUCUAAGAAAUCGUUUGCAAUCUCCCUGAUGUAUAGUAUAUAAAGAUGUUUGGAGCAAAUAGUUAAAUUCGAGAAUGUUUUACGCUCCUUAAUAGUGAUGGAUGUUUUCCUUGAUACUUCACCCUUGGCUGCUCUUCAAACAUAGUGCUACUGAUGAUGUUUAAUGAACUAGCUUUAUUUGUUGUGGUGAAAUAAGAAAAGAUUUGCUAAAUCUUUGAACUCAUAAAACAUUAUUAAUAUUAUGAAAAGGACAGUGACCACCUGCCCUCUGUCUCCGUUGAAGCAGAACAUGAGGAAAUACACUGCAGUAUGAGGCAGUUAUGUUAGAAUAACUGAGAAAUUUCCUGGCAGGGGCGUUAAGCAUUGCAAUGAAUCAGGAAGAAGGUUGUGAACUCUUCUUAGAGUCUGAUUCCCUUAUUAAAUAGCAUGAUCUAUCUUCGGUGUUGCUAGUCUCACCUGUAAGCUGGUAAACCUCUCAAGCUUUAGCUGUCUCCAGUAUUUCAUGAAGAUGUUCGUGUCAGAGGGAGGACCAGGAAAAGCUAACAAAAUCAAACAAUAGCCGAGAUUCGGUGAGUGUUUGUUCUGUGCUAGGCUCUGUAUGAAGAACUUUAUAAGCACUCUCCCAUUUGAACAUGGCAAUGGCCCAGGUAUUUCAGCCCCUAUGGGUUCUGUGAACAGACGCUGACUGCUACACACCAGCAGAUUUGUUUCUUAAAAUUACCAUCAACUCAAAAAUGUAUGAUGAAGGUUUAUAGACAAAUCAUCAUUGGUGAUGCUAUCCUCAUUUUGAGAAGGAGUUCUCUAGCCUGGAAAGGACUGGGUCAGGUCUCUUUGGAGGUACAAAGGUAACAGAGCACCUGGCUCUUGAGAUACUCAUGUGUCAGAGGCUUCGUGUUGUUUUUGAUGAUGUCACUAUGGGUGCUCCAAAGUUCAGAUUUCAACUUGAAAAAUUCAGUGAGCUGAAGAUCACAUUUCCCCUCCCAGAGGCAGAACACACUUCUGCAAAAGAAUAACUUAUGUUCUUGAUAGCACUUGACCUUGAAAGCUCAAAUACCUAUGUCCUUCCCACUGUUCUUUCUUCUUCUGAAACAAACCUUCACCCCAGGUUUUCGUAGUGGCUAAGUCUGAGGUCUGGCCUGACUUUGCCAGAUUUUUGUGAUGAGUCUUACUUUUGCACUUACUCCUUGUGCUUUUUACAUUGUAAUCUUAGCAACAGGGACAGGCCUUGAUUUAACAGCCUCAUGGUAAGUCUGCCCAGAGGUUUUGCCAAUGGAAAUGUAGAAAGUCCAGUGGCAAGAAAUAGUUAUGAAAACAUGCACAGUGGCGAAUACUUCGCUAGAACCCCCUGAGUUCAGGAAACUAAACAUUUUCCUCUGUUGAUAGAGCUUCCCGACUGCAUUCCUUUCCUCUAGCUCUGUCUGCCGUUUCCAGGAGGUCUAAUCUAAAUUACGUGAAUAUCAGAUGCCCCCAAGGGCCGAGUACAGAACAAGAGCUGCAGGAGUCACAGCUCUAAUGGGGGCCAUCGAGUCACCACCAUGCAACCCACACAGACUUCAAGACUGAAACAGUUUUCUUGAUGACUUUAAAGUUGUUUCAAAUAAGUUUUUCCCACUUUCUUUCUCUUUCUCCCUUUCCCUUUCUCUUUCUUUCUUUCUCCUCCCCCCUUCCCUCCUCUUUCUUUCCCUUCCCUUCUCUUCAUUUUUUCCCCUCCUCCUUCUUCUUUCCCUCUCCUCUCCCUCCUCCAUUUUAAAGAAAAGCCUCAAUAAAAAAAACAACACAGCAGUAUCUAUAAGGUCAGAUAUUUUCAUGGCUUGGGUAGCUCUCAGAAUAUAAAUUAUGCACCUUGAAAACAAGGAGUAAAUAACUUACUAAUUUUAUCAUUGCCUUCUAGGCUUUGUUUACAUUUAUUUACAUAUUUAUUUAUUUUUAGAAUUUUGCCAUUUCGUCCACGUAGGCCAGUGGCCUUUAAUCUCUUCGGCGCACAGGUGAGCAGGGUAACACGGUGGACACCUGUUUGCUCUCUAAAGUUAGGUAGUCCUGACUGUUAACAGUGCGAAUAGAUUUUCUUAAUAGUUGAGGGGUGCAGCAGAUUACAAAAUGCUUCCUUCAGAACAGCAGGAUGUGAUGCAGAGUAUUCACGUGGUGAAUUAUGAAUGUUCCUAUAAGUUUGAUCAAGUGAUGGGAUCUCCAGCGAUCAAGAGAGGAAUCACUUCCAUCACAGAAAAGACUUUGGAGUCAUUCAACUCUUUACUGAUGAGUGAAACCCUCACAGGCUGUUUUCCCAAAGCAGCAGAAACAUCGAGGAGCAAACACAGAUCCUCUGUAAAAGAAGCGGCAAUCAAUCUAUUGAUUCAUAAUGGAGAUUGAAUGGUGAAGAAUUUUAUACUUUACAUAUUUAAAACAUUUUAACGUUUUUACAAAAAAGACAAAAUGAAGCAAAUUAGCUACAAAUUAUUUUGUUUAUUUAUCUAUAAUUAUGUUUUUUGGUUUAUUUUACUUUUGAAAUUAAUUUUUUGCCAAACUUUUUACUUUGAAAUAACUUUAUAGAAAAUUUGCAAAGAUAGCGCAGAAGGUCCUCAUAUAUUUAUUGUCCAGUUCCACUGUUUUUACUAUUGUGUUUAUCAUGUACAUUUUUCAUAACUAAGAAAUCAACGUUGGUGUGUUACCAAACUCUACUAACCAAACUCCAUAUUUCUUUCAAAUUUAACUAGUUUUCCUAUGAAUCCCUUUUUUCUACUCUAGAAUUCAGAGUUGAAGUAGAAAGUGCACUUUGUUAUGUCUCUUUGGUGUUCCGUGGUCUGUGGCAUCUUUUUCAUGACUUUCAUAGUUUCAGGUACUGGUCAGGGAUUUUUGUACAACAUUCCUCAUUCUGGCUCUGUCUGUUAUUUUCUCACGAGUAGACUAGAGUUAGGGCUGUUGGGUAAGAAGACCACAGAGGCAAAGUGCUCUUAUAUCACAUCAUAUCAGGGGUACAUGCUGUAAACAGGACUUACCACUAUUGUUGAAGAACAAAAUGUCAAUAAUUAUGUCAAUACCUUCAAAGAUCGAAUUGGCUUUUAUUACUGAUUCUUGUGCUGAGAAAUAUCCAGUCUCCAAACAACCUCCAAUGAGCCAGAGAGAGUGGACAAGUUGUAGAGGCAGCAAAAAGCAGAGGAAAUCAAAAACACUGAUCAGGUAGUGAAUCGGUUCUUUCACCAUUAUUGUCCCUGAAGGAGUGCAAAUGAAGUCUUGUUGGCCACCAUCUGUCAUCUGAUUUUCAUAAAGUCAAAUCUCUUCUACUCUUGGAGGUCAUAUCUUUUUUGUAUUCAAUUCCUGCUAAGUUUAUUGUUUUUCUCUCAGUUUUUAUUUUUAAUUAGUACAUGUUUCCAAUACACAGUGAUCAUAUUCCUUACAGGAAGUUGGCACAUGCACAUGACACAUCUCAAUCCAUUUUCAACCCCUUCCCAUUCUCUUUUCUCCUUCCUUCCAUCUCUCAAUCCUCUUCCCUUAUAAGAAAGAUCUAUUUCCAUAGUUCUCAUUAUCUAUCCUUUAUUUGCUCUUCAUUUAAAUUUUGGCUUUCUUAUAAGAGAAACCAUGUGAUAUUUAAGCUUGUGUGUCUGAUUCAUUUCACUUAACAUUAUGGUCUCAAGGUGCAUCCACUUUCCUACAAAUGGCUCAAGUUUAUUCUUUAUGGAAGGUCAGAUCUUGCAAGCAAACAACCUAAGUUUCAUGGUGAUGUGGAAUCUUAGCAUGAGUUACAGUAUUUUGGCCUGCUGCUUUUUCUUUAAACAUUUGUCACUGUUUAAAAUUAUCAGCAUUUCAAAGGUACUCUCUCUCCCCUUUAAUAUUCUAUGGAAGCAAGUCCAGCCCAGCUUUAAGAUUUAAUACUGUCUCACAAUUAUUCAUUCAGAUGACCAGUAGAACUGAAGACAUAAGACACAGUGCUUUGAGUUUCUUAGAGAAAAGGUAUAAAUAAAUGUAAAUGGAACCAUGGAUCUCCUGAUCUUCACUGAGUCGCUUUCUCAUGUUGGAGUAUGACAUUCAGAGCAGGCAAAAGUAAUCAGUAUUUUCUGUCUAUCACUUAGGAUGAAAGAAAGCUGAAGAGAUGUAGGCCAAUUAUACGCUGUCAUGACAAUGGGCCUUCAUCCAAAUCCCCAGGAAGGCAUCACAGGAGAUCUUCAGAUGGCAACACAAUGCACUCCACCAUCACACUCCCAUGCCCAGAUCUUAGCACCAUUUUACAAUCUAUUUACUGUGAUCUUUGAAGAGAUAAAAUCCACUUGCCCAAUCAACAUGAUCUUUGACCUGAACCCAACAACUAUAUUUUUUUAUCCACUAUUAUUUAUGGAAUACCUAUUAUGUGCCAGAACUUUUCAUAUUUUUCUACUUUAUCUUUCAGACAUGAUUUCAUAAAAUACUUUCAUUUUUAUAAGGAAAUUGAAAGAGGUCAAGUAGUUUGGCCAUACCAGCAGAAGUUGCAUUUGGGAUUUAAAAUAAAUUUAUUCUAUUCCAAAGUGCAUAUAUGUGAAAUAAAUAAUUUUUCAAAAAUUUGUCAUAUGAGGAAAAAUCUAAUAUUGUGGAUUCUUGCUAGGUUAACAACAUCAUUAAGAUUUUUCUGUAGUAAGUAAGACUAAUAGCUCUUUUAUUUUUAGACAGUAAUUUUGCAGUCAUGGUAUCCCCAUAAUUUCUAAUAUUAUUUCUCCUGAAUUCACUAGGUAGAUAGAAAUUCAUUACAGUAAAAAGCAUUUAGCUGCAGGUGUACUGGAAGCAAUCAUUCCAUUUUCCUCACACUGCACACGUGCUGCUAAUUUUGUUUUUGUAUUGACAGUCAACAUGAAAAAUGUUUAAUAGUCAAGGUAACAGGGAAAAUCAAAUCAAAGUUCCUCUUGAAUAUUACUUGAGAGAAGUUAAUAUUUUCAGGAUCCAGUUCUUAAUGCUUAAAGACACUAAAAAUAUUAAAAGUCAUGGAGUAUGGAAAAAUCCAUAAAUUCUUGUGAAGCCUCGUAAAAUUAUUUUCCUGGUAGGUGAACAAAGGGCUGAACGAUGCCCAGAUAUACAGGUGAGAAGUCCAUCCCAUUUGUUCAUCUGGAGAACCCUUCCUAGUUGAAUAUGCACGGUAAUAAUUGGUCACUUCUCCAUCACUGUGCUUCUUCCAGAAGCUAUGAGGUGGGUUUUUGGUUUUGUUUUGGUUUUUGGGUGUGUAGCUACGGGGAAAUGGUUACACGGAGCUACACAUUAUUCAGGUUAAUCAUGAGAGCACAGAACAAUUUGCCAUUCCAGUCUCUUGAUGGCCCAGAUUUGAAGUGUCUGCAACUCUGUCCUAACAGCCGCUGGCAUUGUGUAUAAGAGGCCAUCUGGCAAAACUUAAAGUAGGUGACAGUUUUUCCUCCCAUUCUUUUCUCUACCACGUGUGUUACAGUUUCUUUCUUCACUCAGAGCACUUUCUAUUAAUAUGCAGGCCCUCUUGUCAAAGGGAGAAAAUCUGGUCUUUAAAACCUUGCUGUAAGUUAGUUACUCAUCUACCUUUCCCUGAGGUCUGCAUUUUAAGAUAGAAACCCGUAAUGGAACCUGAAUUAACAGCCUUCUGUGGCCGGGACCCGGAGGAUCCAGUCGAAGGCAGAAGACCUGGAGCUCCCUGCAGGGUCCAGUGUGAGUCUAUGUCGGGAAGCAAAGAGUCUGCCCUGGGAGAUGGAAGGAACCGGAGAUGAAUGUCCACAGGCAGGGACAAAGCCCGCAGCUUCUUUGGAGAAGAAAAGAGCAGACUCCCUUCUUUUCCUUUUUAUUCUGUCCAGGCUACAAGUCUAUUGGUUGGUGCCACCCACAUCCGGGGCGGGUCUUCCCUCCUCAGUUUGUGGCCUACCUGUCAAUCAUCCAGAGACACGCGCAGGGCUUUACUGAUUUGCUAGGUGGCUCUUACUCAAGUGAAAGUGCCAUAUCCCAAUUAACGAUUACAUCUAAUAAUGUUCAGAUAAAACGUAUUUUGUGCAAUUGGACUGAUAAAACAUGCAAAAUAUAGCUAUGAGGUCUGCUUGAGAUUCAUAUUUAGUCACAAGAAGCAAGAAUAAUUUCUUCAUUCAAUAAUACUUAGAGAACACUGACUAUGAUGCAAGAAUUUCAGGCACUAGGAGUAUCAUAGUGAUCAAAAUCAAAGGUCUCUGCUGUCCUGGAGCACAUGCUCUACAGGGAAAAUGAACAGUGAGGAUGCACAAGGCUAGAAGAACAAGCUAAAUGGCACCUGCCCAGACAAGGCCUUCAGAGGGACUUUCCAUGGGUUCGCAGCAGUUAAAUGCAGAAGUACAAACUGGGGGGCUGAAUCCACUCUGGGUUAAAAGAGCCUUACCACCAAAUAUGGAUUUUAUAGCAGGAAAAUGUAAUGCAUAGGUCUGGUCUGAAUUCUGAUUCAAAAAAUAUGCAUUCAAGAGACAAUAUCAGGGGAUCGUUGACAUCUGUUCUGUAGUAAUUGUAGUGUGAUUAGGGACAAAAAAACCCCUUAUAUACUGCUUAGAGCUGAACUCUGAAUUAUGUAAGAUAGACAUUAUAUACUGUCUGGAAAGAAAAAGAAAAAAUGUAAAAUUCUUGUGGAAAAAUCUGAUAAUUAUUUAAUUUGGUUGAUGAGUAUAUAGGUGUUCAUUGAACUAUUGUCUUUUCUUUGCAAACUAAUAUUUUAUAAUACAAAUUAAAAAUCAAAAUGACAAUGAAAAUGUGUUAUUGUGCAUAUUUAUCAUGUGCACAAUGUGCAGAGCAAAAGAAGGAAUGGAGACAAUGGGUUUGUUUUCUAAGCUCCCAAUUUAUCAACCUCACUUUGAUAUUCUUUCUGGUAUCUUUAAACUGAGCCGGUGGCUAUUUUAUCAAGCUGAAUCUCUAAGGAAUAUGCUAUUCACAGAUCACCUUUGGAAGAUUUUACAUUUGAAUAUAUUCUUUGUUAGAUUAACAAAUAGUUUCUGGAAGGACUCAGUGAAGAUAAUGAAAAAAUCUAUAGAAGAAAGAUGAUAUGACAGAAAAACCCAAGUGGAGGAAAAUCUCAGGGAAUGAGAUGCAUUUUACCUCAUCCUGGGUGAAACGGGAGGCCGAGAUAAUGCCCUCGUGGAGAGCAGACACAAUGAAGUUGUCGUUGUUGAUUUAAAUUCCCUUGCACGGUGAAAAGUGUGUGGAAUUGGAAGAGAGGCGACCAGUCAUGAAGACACUGCUGACGAGAGGGCCGUCAGCUCGCACGGGGAUGGUGGCAGUGGCGAUGGAGAGACGCGGGUGGAUCAGGAGCAUGGACAGGAGUUGCGAGGUCCAGCGAUCGCCUAGGGCCUAUUCCCUCAGAACCUCCCCCGUUGGCCAUGCCCUGCGGAAGAGCUCAAGAAUCACACUCCUUCCUGGGCCUCAGAGAAGGAAGAUGGCUUUUAGGGAACAGGUGUCUGCCCACCCUAGGGCAGCAGGCAAAUCAUUCAACAGCUUUUGCUCCCAGCCCUGGGCGUCCUUAAGGUGGCUCCAAAUGGGUCCCAACCACCUUUUAGGCAUCAUCGAAUCAACGCCGGAGAAACAUUUUGACGAUUUUGUUGCUUGAUGUCCGUCUAAAUGGCGCACGUGCUCCUGACUCUGCAGAGGAGAUGCUGGACCCUGGGCCCGCCUGAUCCCAUGGGAACUGAGUGAGCCACAGGCCAGUUUCCUAGGCACUGACUGCACCAAGGGAUUUGGUGGUCUACAAAAUAUCGUAAUUUUGCCAGCCCUUGAGAAAACUGGAAUGCGUUUUAUCCCUCUUCUCUGGACAGCACUCCUUCUGAGACGUCUGUCCACCACGCAGGCACAACUCCCUGUUCAUUUACUCAGAUUUGCGGUGAUAACGGCUGAGAACUUUCCAUCCUCAUACAAGCUGGGUCUCAAAUUCCUAAGGAAACUCCUGCAGAGCCGCGCUGUUUGCUUUUGAAAGAUCAUAUCCUGACUUGCCUAUGGAGCCUUUGGUCGGAGGUGGGAUAAUUUUUGCAGCUGGGGGGAACCUAUACCUUGCUGGGGAAAAUCAGCAUGAAACAAUUAAUCACUCAUCCAAAAAUAAGAAUCCUAACCGAAGGGUGUUCACCGAUGAAAGAGCAAAGAAAACAUGUGCAGAGACAGUCUUCCUUCUGAUAGGCAGUGAUUUUUAAAGCAAAUUCUUCAUGUUUGGGAGUUGCUUCUUUCUUUGCUUUUUAUUAAACAGAGUUUUGUUUUCCUGAGUAAAAAAGAAUCUUAUUUUCAAAGGGCUGUUAUCCUGCUGCUUGCUCCCCAUAUGAAAUUAUCUUGCAGAGUAACAGGGCCUGGUGUUCUGGAAAUUGCAUAUGGGAUUUCUUAGUUUAAGAUCAAAGUCCUGUGACUGGAAGUUCACAAGAGUCACUCUUUUUCUUUCUAUUCAUACUUACAUUUUUAUUUUUCAAAACCAAUGCAUCAGAAAUUAUAUAUUUUAUGGAAAAUGAUAUGAUGUUGUGAAAUAUGUACACAUUACGGCAUGGCUGAACCAAGCUACUUAACACAUGCAUCCUCACAUGCUUACUAUGAUUUUGUGGUGAGAACACAUAAAAUCUAUUAUCUCAGUAUGUUUCCCAUCAGUCACUGCCUUGAAAUUGAACAGUUUUCAUAUAUCUUCUAAAUUUAACAUUUCAAAUUUGGCUUUCAUAAAAUAUUUUAGUUAUUAUGUUAGUACUUAACUGAGGAAUAGCUCAAACUUGGUACAUUCAUUUGUACAUUCUGAAUUAGUGGAAAGAGUUUGGGGUUAUAAAUGGGGAUGUAGAGCCACACCUCCUCCCAAUCAGAGGCAAACUCUGCUGCCAUGACAAAGGAGAAGCCAGCAGCUUCAGGGUGCGUGGUCAGUCUGUAAUGACAUUAGUACUGUCUUCGCAGGGGCCAGCUCACUGGAGUUCUAGCUCUAUUGUUCGCACUGAACUUUUACCUUUCCACAGAGUUAAAUGCAUUGCCAGUGUCCCAGUGUAUUCAGAAUUAAGCUGCCCUUACCUAUUCAGAGUUAGUAAAAAGAGACUUAUAUUUUGUCCUAGUAUUUUAUUUUCUACAUGAUUUCUCUCUCUUGGAAUUUAUUUUGGUAUAUGGUGUGAAGAGAUGAUCUAAAAUGAUGUUUCUCUGAAAUAGUUGCCUCAGUUGUCUCUUCUUUCACAUUUGAUUUUAUUUCUUUGUAAUAUAUAACAUUAUUAAAAUUAAUAUAAUUUCAAACAAAUAUUUCUGACAUUUCUUGUAUAUAUCCUACUUUAUCGAUGUGUCUGUUUUUGCAUCAACAGUAUGUCUUAAUUAAAGUGCCUUAUGGUAUGUUUUAAUAUAAAGUUGGGCUACUUCCAAAUGAAUGCUCUUUAGUGAGAGAAUUUAUGUAAAACUCCUAUAUCUAUCUACGUGUCCCCAUGUGGAUGCACACAGCAAUUGGGAGAUUUUCUAUGGCACCAUCCUAUCCUGUCUUGGACCUUAGCCUUCAUCCAGAGGAGCACUGUGUGUGCUGUCUCCCACCAAGCCAGGGGUCUGAGCAACUUUAGCAUCUACACUAUUCCAUUAGUGUUACCUCCACACCUACCAGUUAGCACCCAAUCUAGCACUGCCUAUACCUGCUCACUGCAUGCUGCAUUGCUAGUUUUAGAGUCAUGAUUUUUUUUUUUUUUUGGUACCAGGGAUCGAACUCAGGUCCUUGUACUUGCGGUGCAGGCAGCAGAAACACUGAGCUAAAUCCCCAGCCCUUAGGGUCAUAAUAUUAAAAAAGUUAAUAAUGUCUGAAUUUUUACUUAGGGACCAAAAGUUGAUUGUGUUUUAACCUAUACUCAACUUUCUUUCAGAUAUAAAAUAUUCUUCUCUAAGAAGGAGAAAGGUAUAGUAUUUACUUGAAUUAGUAUCAUGCCUAUGUGGUCCAACUGAGAGGUGAAGAAAACAGGCUGAGGAGGGACUUUCUGAAAUUUAGAUCAGAUAAAAUACUUUAUUUGUACAAAAAGCAAUUAGUAAUAAUUGGACUUUUUAAACUCACAAACAAGACUAAAGACAGCAAAACAUAUGAGAUAAUAAAAAUAUCCAUUAUCCACUCCACAUUAUUUGUAAUAACUUCAAAUGAUAAAAGAUUACAUUAAAAAUCCAAUUUAGGGGCCAGGGAUUUAGCUCAGUGGUUCCACCGCCUGCCUUGCAAGCACAAGGACCCAAGUUCGAUCCCCAGUACUCCCUGCCAAAAUAAAUCCAAUUUAAAAAAUUUUUAUUGCAUAUAAAUUGACAAAUUACAUUUGUGUAUAUGUACUGGGUACAAAGUGAUCCUAAGAUUUAUGGAUAUGAGGAGUCAUUAAAUUAAACUAAUUAAUAUAUCUAUCACCUCAAAUGCCAUAUUUUGGUGGUAACAUUUGAAAUUACUGUUACUGAUUUUGGUAUGACAAAUAAAUUUUAAUUGAUUUAGACACAAUGGCCAUGUGUAUGUUCCCUUUUUAGGUUGGAGUUAUUGGAAAAAAUAAGGCAUACAAUAAAGUUUUGUGAUUUUUUAAUAAAGUUUGGUACUUGGUUUAAGAAAAUGUUUCUCAGUCGUGAAGGUAUAGGAUCAAACCAAAUGUCCAUUAACAGAUGAAUGGAUAAAGAAAAUGUGACUAUAUAUGUGAUAAAAUAUCUCAACCAUACAAAAUAAAAUUUUGCAGCAACAUGGAUGGAAUUGGAGAACAUUAUGUAGGUAAAUAAAUCAAACACAAAAUGACAAAUACUGCAUAUUUUCACUGCAUAUGGAGGCCAGAAGGUUGACCUCAGAGAUACAGAGUUGCAGAGUGGUACCUGGAAUGCAGGCCUGGGAAGGGAGUGGGUAGCUGAAGGAUGGUUCAGGGGUAUAGGGCCGGCUGGAGAGGAGCGAUAACCCAACAUUCUCUAUUGUACAGCAGGACAGCUAUAGUUGACAAUAACUAGUUGUAUACUGUAUUUCAAAAUAGCUAGUAGAAAGGAUUUCGAGCUUUCCCAACACAGAGAAGUGGUGAGUGUUUCACAGGAUGGAGUUGUCAGCUAUCCUGAUCUGAUCAUAAUACCUCACACACGAGCAUUUAAAGAAAUAUGUACAAUUAUUAUGUGUUAAUUAAGAACAAAUAAAAUGAAAUGCUGCAAAGAAGUGUUUUUUGUCUAUGGCAUGCUAGAACAGAAGUAUUAUUUUAGUUCAUGAUAACAAUGAUUUUCCAGAGGAAGAAAUAUGAGAAAAAGUAUAGGGAAGGUCUAUUUGCCUAAGUAUGACACGAUUAAUAUGAUUUCAAAA